CUGAUCUUCCGGGGCUGAAGAAAGAUGAGGUCAAAGUUGAAGUUGACGAAGGCAGAGUCUUGCAAAUAAGCGGAGAGAGGAAAGCGGACGGCGAGAGUGAUGGUGAUACGUGGCAUAGGGUGGAACGGUGUCGUGGCAGGUUCAUGAGGAGGUUUAAGCUGCCGGAAAAUGCGAAGACCGAUGAAGUGAAGGCGUCCAUGGAGAAUGGAGUGCUUGUGGUCAAAAUACCAAAGCAAGAAGUCAAGAAACCGGAGAAGAAAGUGAUUGAGAUUCAGGGGAACUGAGGGUUUAAUCAAAUUAAGUUGAUAGUGUGUUGCUGAAAUAAAUCGUCUUACGUUGUGUGUGUGUUUGGUGUAAUCAAGUGUGAUUCUUAUUAUUAAUUUUUUUUUUUCCCAAUUAGCUUUUGUGUUCAUGCAUCCUUCUUGUUGUACUAUAUGCAGCAGGUAAGAUAUAAAUAAAAUGAAAUUCACUUAACUGUUUUUUUGUUUGAAGCAAUUUGUUUAACUGAAUUCAAACCUUUUAUUUUUUUUAUUAUUUUUUUUUUUUUUGGUUCUGCAAUAUUUCGAAAUAUGAUCAAAACUCGUCUUUAGUUUAUCGUAUUUAAUCAAUUUCAUCACCUGUUUCAAAAUCUAUUAAAACUUUAUUGCCGAUAAAAAUGUCAUGUUACCUUUUUUGACAUUGUGAUUGCCUUUCAUUUUGAUAAAUUUUAGUUAAGGGCAAGUUUUCUGGCAUCAAAGGUAAAAUAGAAAAAUAAGUUGAAAGUCGGAUAUAAUUUCUUUAACGAUAAGGCCCGUAAGGGUUUUAGAUGAGAGUCGAGAAACAUGACGCGGGUGAAAUGACGCGGCGGGGUUUUGAUCAAUUUUUCCGGAUGGCAGUUGGCUUUCAGAUUCUUGAGCCGGCCCAAACGUAUGAGUUGAAACUUUUUUCGGCCAAUCAAACCCAGUUCUGUAGCUAGAUAGUGCAGUCCGAUCCACUUGACAAAAACAAUUAUCUUGACUUCGGAUCAGCAUUUUUUUUCUUCUAAUCUGAUUUUUUAUUUGAGUAAAUACAUUUAAUUAAUUAAUUAAUAAUAUAAUAAAUAAGUAAAUUUUAGAUCAUACAUAAAUAAAAAUGUAUAUGCAUUAAAAGAUUCUUAAAAACUUAGAUAUGAUCAGAGGAUUAUAAUUUUUUUUUUUAAUUUUUUGACAAGAAUGUAAGCAUGAUGAGUUAAACUAACACUCCUCUAAAAAUUUCUUAGAUCAUCUUUAAAAGGCUCUAUUAAUUUUACUCUUUAAAUAUCUAUUUGAUUAUUUAGAAAAGUGAAAAAAAAAAUAUGUUAUUAUCCAAAAGACUCCUCAAAUAGAAAUAAGUUAAUAUUAUUUUAAUCAAAUAAAUAUUUUUAAAAAAGAAAAAUAAAUGGUAAUUAAAACACUUAUCUCUCUCUCCAAUAAAAAAUAAUAAAAUAUAAAUUAAAGAGGGAGAAGUAAUUUUAUAAAAUUAAAGAAAGAGAAUCAUUUCUUAUUCGAAAAAUUUUAAUUGGAGUACUUUUUAGAGUAUUAAAUACUGAUGUAACUCUUCAAAUAAAUAAUAAAAUCUUAUUUGAUAAGACUUUUGGAGAUGCUCUUAAAAGCUCCUUUCCCGACAUAAACAAUUAAAAUAAAUUAAACUUUUUAUUUUCACUCAUUUUUAACUCCUUUAUCUUCUUCCCUAAUAACAUCCCACGGGUACGUUGCACAAGUGUGCAAUACCAAAAGAUGGCCUUCCUUCUUUUCGAUUUUAUUUAUUAAAAAAAUUCAUUAAAUUUUGAAAACAAAAUCCAUGUCGUUAUCUAUAAUUUUUUCUAUUUAUAUUUUUCACACAUAGUCCUGUAUAUUUUUUUAAAAAAUAUAUAUAUAUUAUAAAAUUAUAAUGAAUAAUUUUCCUAAUAAUAAAAAGUGGAAUGGCUAUAAUAAAAUUACUAAUCAGUUUAACUAGAACCAAAUAUUGAAGUAAGUAAAGUUGUUGAUUUGAUAAUAAGUUAUUAUAUAUUCUUGGGUCUUGCAAAAAGUAUAGUCAACAAAGAGAUGAUUAUUGUUCUUUUUAUGUACUUUUGAUCAUGAUUAAAAUGACAAAAACAGAGGAGGGAUUUUAUAAGAUGUUUUGAGGGGCACCAGCCGCCCCAUUCAAACAAGAUUAACUAUGCCCCCUGUCCACCACCACUAGUUUCUUCUUGAAAGUGUUCUUACAAGUUCAAUGUCAAAAAAAAAAAAAAAAGAAAGCCCAAUUAUACCAUUAUUUUCAACUUUAUAAUCCUUAAUGGGGCCACCCUCGGAAUAAAAGACAAAGGUCUUCACAAGUUUACUGUUUCUCCAUUUAGGCCCAUCAUUAUACUGGAGAUUGUAAUUGUACUACGUUGGGACCUGGCUCUGAAAAAAAAAAAAUCAGAAAAGAUCACGACUAGGGAGGCAACAACAAUUAGUGAGGGUAAAAUUGUAGUUCGAGGCCCUCUAGAGUAUUUUAGGGGGUUUUAUUUCUCCUAAAAAUUGUUUUUUUCCUUAUGAAAUGUAAGUAUAAUAGGCAUCUCUAAAAAAUUAAUGAAAAUAAAAAUUUGAAUAAUUUUUUAUAAAAGAUCUAAUAUAUAUUAAUUUCAGUAAUAAUUUAAUUGUAAUAUCAAUAGUAGUUCAUAUAAUUUGAGAUUAUAACAUCAGUGUAAAAGAGAAAAAAAAAAAAGGCAACCAAAUUAAUCCUAUUAUAUUGGAUCAAAUACUUAUUUAAUUGAAAUUCUUUCAUUAAAUGAAUUAACCAAAAAGUGAUUACGGGCAAUUGAUGAAUCUCUCUUUCCGCCGAAGCAUUCUUAAAUUUGAGAACACACAAAUUUGUGUCUUAUUUUUACCUGAUUUUUCAAUCGUGCUCUUGUACAAAUGCACUAGAAGGGAAAAAAGUAGAAAUUAAUUAAUUAAUUAAUUUACAUUACAAUUGAAAUAAACAUUUAUACAAAUUAAGAAAGUAGCUACCAGCUAGUAAACAAUGCCAAAUGUCGACGCGGUUUUGCAUCGGCUUACAAAUGCUUAAAUUGCCCGAUCUGAGAAAUUAAUUAACGUCAAUAAUUAAUAGAGCUUAAUUAAUUAGUCUCUAAGUAAUCUAAUCAGGUGAUUGACAAGAAUCCAUCACCUUAUACUUUUAUGAGCAUUUUUUUUAAUUUUGUUUGGUUAGUGUCUUAGUGAUGAUCAGAGAGUGAAGAGGCUAGGGUACCAAUUUUUUUAAAAAAAAUACAAACUAAAUAGUGUUAUUGUGACACACUUAUGGUACGAUAAGCAGUCCCAAUCGGCUGGCCUCCUCUUAAUCCAUGAAGCUUCAUCUCCUUAAUGGCUGGAUCUUCUAACAACAACACCUUGUCCUUGUCUCUAACACCAACCAUGUGUAAGAACUCAUUAUCCUCUCUCUCUUUCCCUUUGAAGAGUAGCCUUUGCUCUCUUGGCUCCAAUCCACUCACCAUUGACAAUAUCAUCUUCAAUUUCUCUAAAAUGAUUUGGAAAAAAAAAAUUUAAAAAUAUAAAAAUGUAUGUCGUGAAAUAUACAUGAAUAUUAUUUUUAAAAUAUGCGGAUAUCUGCGGAAUGAUUAGAACUUACCAAAAGUAGAAGUUGCUUCGAUGGAAAUGUCAUGCCACUUAGAAACAGUUGAGACUCUAAUUGUGAUGGAGCCUUCUCCUUCACAUCCACUUUCUCUCUUUUGAACAAGCAUCCCACCGGGCCUAAGCUCCCAUUUGAUUUCGUGACUACUGUUAAUUCCUCCACACCCUCUGGCUGCAGCUUCUUUGACAUUGUUGCUGCUGCUGCCAUUGUUAUUGCCGUUGCCGCCGAGCUUAAAACUGCUUCUGCAAAACCUUUUAGACCUCAAUUUGAUCAUUCUCCCUUUUCUCUCUUCUAAAUAAGCUCUUUCUUUUUGUUCUUAAUUGUUUCUUAAAAACCAAAAAGUGAAGGGGAGAAAUGAAGUGUUGGGAUAAGCUAGUUUAUAUAAUAGUUAGUGGGGAGGUAGGGGCCUGGGGGGAGCAUGCAUUAGGACAAAAUGAAGCCCUGAAUAAAACAAUAACUAAUUAAGCUGUCAUAAAUUAAUAAAAAAAAAAUUGGCGAGAGUAAGAUGGGAGAGGAAGGAAAAAUGAGAUGAUGACACGUGGAGGGUGAUAUGCGCAAAGCACAUGGGACUGAUGGGAGUGGGUGCUUGCAGACACGCUCGCUUGCUUGAUUGACGGCCAAACACAAUCACAACAAAUGGGCGGUCGCAGAAGAUUAUGGAGUCUUUGUUUGUUUAAGAGCUGUGUUUUAAGAACUAGCCAGUUAGGUUUGGAACCUGUCAACUUAAGGGCUUGUUUGGUGAAAAGCCAAAAUCAAGACAAUAGAUGGCAAACGUGCUUUUUAACCUUACUUUUUCAUGUCAUUUGUCGUCUAUUUUAACAUUUGGUUCAAUUUUCCUUUUUCUUUUUGUUAUUUUUUUCUGUUAAUAAAACUGAAAAAAGAAAAUGAAGGUGUAUUUGAUGAAUAUUUAAAUCAAUUCCUCUAAUUUUGGAAUUGAUUAUGAUUAUAUAAGCUCAUUUAUUGCGCCGAUUAAGAGAGUCCGGACAAAUUUGUUAAUUGUAAUACCACAUUAAAAAGCAACAUUUCUACUGAGUAUUAAUUUAAAAUUGAAUGGGAGAUUAUCAUAUUAUCUUCCACAUUGCAUAUUUAAGAUGUUACAACAAAACAGUGAAUUACAUGAGUUGCAAUUAAGAAUAAGAUCUGCCAAACAGGUCUUAGAAGAUAAUUAUCUCCGCCGGAACACAGUGGCCUAGAUCUUGAAUGUUUCAUGGAAUAUAUGUAACAUUAAACAAAUUAAAGAGAAAGUAUUUUGUCUUCACUUGCUUUCUCGUUGAUAUUGCUUUCAUUUUAGUUAGGUUUAGGUGGGUCUCCUUAAAAAUGCCUCUUUGAGUUUACUUUUUGAGUGGGUAGUUGGCUAAUCCAUAGGGUAUCAACCCAUGUGGAAAGAGUUAAUAUAUACUUAAUUUCUAUUAAUUUCUGCCAUACAUACAUGGUGACCAAGUCUCUACUUUACUAUUUUUCUAAUAACAUGUAACAAUUAUAGCGAAAAGUAAUCUUAGGGAUUAGUCACCCAACUUUAGCCACAUUUUUCAGAAAAUACGAUGAUUUGUUUCCUUAGUGCCAAGGACCUUUCCAAAGAAAAAGAAGUUAUGUAUGCCAUAAACUUGACAAUUAAUUCUUCCAAAAGUUGUCAUAUAAAGUGUGUGAAUGUACCAAUGGGCCUUUGGUUUAAUGGGAGAAAUCUUACACUUACAAUAGUGAGUGCAAGGAUUUGAGUCACUAUAAAAGCUUUAUGAAGGUUAGUUUCAGUAGUCCUUCAAUUAUCAACUAGUUAAGUGGAGACAGUCUUCCCCUUAUGAAAUGUGAGUAAAGUAUGCACUCCUCGAAUAUUAAAGAGUUUAAAGUAUCUGAGCAAAUACUUCAGUGUAUCAAUAUAUGGCGGUACGAAAUGUGAGUAAAGUAUGCACUUCUCGAAUAUUAGAGAGGGUUUAAAGUAUCUGAGUAAAUACUUUAGUGUGUCAAUAUAUGGCGGUAGUCUCAGUUGUAUAGUAUGAUUAUAAAUAUUAAUUAUAAUGUCUGAUGUAAUAUCAGUAAUAAUCUGUAUAUAAGAGAAUUCAAAAAAAAAUGUGUGUGUGAAUGUAUCUCUAUAUAUAAUGUCACUUGGGUGACAUUUGUUUCGACAUUUAUAAAAAAAAAAAAAGUGAUACGUGUUUUAAAUAUGGGCACACAAGUGACAUUACUUUAAGUUUGUCGUUAAAAUUAAUAGAUUUAGGUAAUGAAAAUUCAAUUGACAAUUUUGCACCCCAUUAGUUAAUUUAUAAUUUUUAUUGAGAAACAAUUUUUUUAUGGAGAAAUAGAGGACAAGAAGAUGAACAAGAAACAAAGAAGAAGAAGAAGAAAGAACCGAGAAGAAGAAAGGAAAAAAAAGAAUAAAAUAAAAAAGAGAGAGAGAAACUGAGGAGUUUUCUUCUUUUUCCAUCUUUUUUAUAGAUAUGUUGGUGUAUUGUUGAAAUAAAACUUUCAUUUAAAAAUUAGUCAUCUACAAAAAUUAUAAAUCAGUUAGGGGGGGGGGCAAAAAUGUCGAUUUAAUUUUUAAUACCAAAAUCUGUUAAUUUUAACAGUAAACUUAAUGGAGUGUCACCUAACCCAAAUAACAUUAAUUUAUAUGUAUAUCUACUCAUUUAAAUUUUUUGGUAGAGCAAUUUUGGUAGAAAACAAGAAAAUUCGAAAAUGUACAAAGGCAUCAUAUACCCCACAUGUUUAUGGCAAGAGAGACACAAUAACAUAGGUAGUGGGUAUACAUGAGCUCACCGAAUGGAAAACAGAAAUAGCAUAUAGGCUUAAUGUGCAUGUGGGGGGGACCCCAAAUAAUUAUAAGACACAUAUUCCUUAAUUUCCAUGCAUAUAUCAUCAAGGUAUGGGAUCAGAAAGACGCUGCUUUUUUUUUUUAUAAUAAUUUUUCAGAAUUAAUUUUCAUGAUAUGAGUAUGACAAUGACGAACGUACCCUAAAGACUUUUCUCCAAAUAAAUAGUGGAAAAAAGGUACCCCCAACCUACUACAUUGGGGAAAUUUGAGAGCACAAUCCAAUGGGAUAGUUCUCAUUUUUUUGUUGAAAAAGGGGACAACAAAAAAAAAAUUUGAAAAAUGAAAAAAAAGGUCGAUUAUUGAAAUUCGAUCAUGAUUCAACUUAAUUACCUUGGGAAGUAAACCCAUAAUCAGUCUCGUGUGAGGUAACCAAUGCUUUUACAUGGUCAAAGCUUCGAUCACAUGCAAUGUUAUAUAAAUGCAAUGGGAGACGAUUAAUAAUAAUGUGUAGGUCCAUUUCAAAAUAAUAAUAAUAAUAAUGUGUAGGGGUUGUUUGUACCUUUUGUCAGACUCUUCCACAGUGUGGGGAAAUGAAUUCAAGAGUUCUCAUAUAGAGAAUUCAUUAUUCAUUAUAAGUCUAAGGGUAAAUAUUUGUGUAAUUAUUAUAUUUUAAUUUAAGUAUUUAUGUAGUUUUUAUAUUUUAAAAAAUAUAUCAAAAUAUUUUUAGAAUUAAAUAUAUUACAUUUUUACUCUUAUUUUUUUCUUUUCUUAUAUAAUAACACCCUUAAUUAUAAUAAUAUUCUUGUAUUAAUUAACUUGUCUGUAAAAAUGUUAAUUAAAAAAUUAACUUGUAAUUAUUUAUUAGCAAAUUAACUAAUAAAUAUUAGUAUAAAAGAAUUAAUAUUUUUUGUUCACGUGCAAUAAUCUUGCUAAUAAUUAUUUGAAAAUAAAUUAAUAUUAGCUAAUUUAAAGCACUUUUCAAUAUCCUUGUAACAAUCUUAUCACUAAUUAUUUUACAAAAAGUAAUUUACCAAAUUAAUUCUAAAAGUCAAAUAAUAAUAUAAAAGUUUGCAAAAUUUUAUGUUACUUUUAAUGUUAAUUUAGUAAAUUGUCAUUUUCUGCAUUAAUAUCUCCAAGAAUAUUGUCAUAAGAGUAUUAUUGUUAAAGAAAAGAAAAAAAGUAAAGAUAUGAUUGCAACAUACUUAACAAUAAGGAUGUUUUGAGAUAUUUUCUUAAGUAUAGGGAUAAAUAGACACUUAAUUCAAAAUAUAAGAACUAAAUAAAUAUUUAACUUAUUAAUAGGUGAUAUAGCAUGUAAUGUAAUGUAAUUUUCAAAACUACUUUUAAGUGGAUCCCAAUUUUAUCAUAAUUUUAUUAAUUUUUGGUGGAAGGUAUUUAGGGCAAAUCUGGGCUAUACCCCAGCCAAAUUUUGAAAAAAUUGUUUAAUGCUUUUACCAUAUAAUAUUAUUAGCCUCUAUCUUACAUGCAUGUAAGAUACACUCCCCUCACAUGAAUAGUGUGUGGGUCCCAUACAUACACUAUUCAUGUGAGGAGAAUGUAUCUUACAUGCAUGUAAGAUAGAGAUUGCCAAUUAACAUAUAUUAUUUAUAAAAUUAGUUACCACUGUUAUAUUUUAUAAAAUUGCCACAGUAAUAUUUAUAAGUUUAUCAGUCAAUUUGUUUUAGAAACUGUUAUUUUUCCAACACUCCAUUUUAUUCUAGAAUUUUUUUGUUUUAAAUAAGCUUGUGAUGACCAAAUAUUUAUCAUUCAUAUGACUUUUAAUUCUUUAAUUCUUUAAAGUUGGGGACUAUUUAUAAUUUUUUAAGGAUACCGUACCCUACAACAAAUAAUUAAAAAAUAUUAAAAGUUAAUAAAUUAAAACCAUAUAACGAUGUCAGGUUAUAGGUUAUGGUGCACAUAAGGUAUCAUAAUCACAUCUUUUAAAUUAAUUUUUAUUGUUAAAUAAACUAUAUUCACAAGGUGUUUCUCAAACUGAAAAAGUGUCAAUAUUUUUAUUGUUAAAAUAAAAUAUUAGUUCAAAAGAAGGCAAAAAAGGACAUUUUGCAGGCAAAGGGAAAACGUGAAGAUAUGAUAUCUAGGGACUAGGAAGGGCAUGCAAAUGCAGAAGGGAAAAAUGAAUGAAAAUGCAAUAUAUUUGUAACACGAGACGAGAUAGAUCCUUUCGCGGCUCCCACAGGAUUUGCUUCUUGUUUGCAUGCCAUCUUCCUUCCUUCCGCCCCUCAAUUAUUUACUUUUCAUGCACUACUGGCUAAAAUUCUGUGUAUCUUUUUUAGAUGCCGAUACCAUCAUAGAGAUAUUCCAUAAUCUCUAAUUUAUUGGGAACCCCGACAACAGUCCUUUUUCUUCUUAGUUAAUUGUUGUAUUUUAUCAGUGAGUUAUCAUGGCAUGUUGUUUUAUUGCUUCUUCUUCUUUUUUUUUCAAAUGUGAAUAUAAAGUCUUCCAAAACAUCGACGAAAAACUCUUUUUAAUUUAAUUUUUAAAUAUUUAUUUUCUUAUUAUAUAAAAAAUAGAAGAGUUAAAAAAAUAAAAAUUAUCUUUCAAAAGACUUUUCAAAUAAAACUAAACUUUAUAUUAUUUAAUUAAAAUUUUCUUUUAUUAAAAUAAUACCAAUUAUAACAUUUUUCUGUCUUCAAGAAUUAUGAGAUAAAAAUAAUAUAAUACUAAAUUAAAAGUUCUAAAAAAAUUCUAAAUAAGAAUAUUAUUCAAAUGAGAUUUGCAUUUUUUUUCUCUUUAAUAUUGAAGAAAGAAUGAUGAUCUUAGUUAAAAAAUCUCAUUUGAAAAUUCUUUUUGUGAUGUAACCCUUUAAGUAAGUAGUAAAAUAUAAUUUGAAUAGUUUUUUUUUUUUACGAUACUCUUACUCUUUUCUCUAAGAAAAAUUGCCCUCUUAAUUUAUUGUAAACUUCGUUUCAUUAGAUUGUGAUCAACAUUUGAUAAUCUAUCAAUUUGAUCAUAAAUAGUAAUUUAUUGUCAAAAUUUGAUAGAUCUAGAUCAUAAAAGGAUACUAAGUGGUAAUCUUCAAAUCAAUAUACCUAACUUUGCUGCUUUUGCCCUCAAUCUUAUGUAAAACUUGCCUUAAUUAUUCUAAAACGUAUGAAAGAAUGUUACUAGAUAUCAUAGCACGAAUUAAAUUGACAUGGGGUUCUGAAAUAGUUUCGAAAAUUUUCUUGAAAUAAGAUGUUCUUUUUUUUUUCCCUUUUUUUUUGGAUUGUAAGUAUUAUCAAUUUUUCAUUCAUACAAGCGCUCGUUUUAGUGUGUUAAUCUAUAAAUAAUGUUAAGCCUACAAAACUCUCAGUAUAAACUGAUAUGGUAUUAAAAUAUUGGUUGAAUUAACACACUAUUUUAAUAUAUUUAAUACAACUUUUUCACCUUUAACUAAAAUAUAAGUUGCUGCCUGUACUAAGAGUGAAUUAUAUGGACUCAAUUUCCUCCAAAUAUAUCGGAGUAGUUUCCUUCUCGAAAAAGAGAGCAUUGUCUUUUAUUUAGGAGCAGUAAUUUGGGUUCCAUCACAAUGAAAAUGAUUUCGAUUGGUUUCAAUAACUUCUUGUACAAAUAAAACUAUUUUAUAUUUAAUAUAAUAACUUUUUUUCCCCUAAAAUAUAAUUGCAUGUUGGUUGCUCUAUAGGAUAUGGAACUUCGAGUCUUGGACUCAAAAGGCCAUUGUUUUGGGCUUGUAUCUUUGCGCUGUUUCAAUGGGGGGUUUUAUUUGAUACCCAUAUACCCUUCAAAAUUCCGAGUGUAAUCACAAAAAGAAUCAGUGCGGUGGUUCACUCAGGAGUUGAACUAUUGGCAGGGAUGGUAAAAUUAUUCCCGAGCUCACAAAUUUGCUCAAAUCUACUCGUUAAAAUUCAUCUGUUGCGAGUAAUUUUAUGGGUUAAGAGCAGAUUUAGUAUUUUCAAUUUAAAUCUACUGCAGAUUGUGGGUAAGUUUUAUAUUAAAAAAAAAAUUGGUAGAUACCUGCACGGACCACCGCGGACUUGUAUUUUUUAUUAUUUAUAUUUAAAUUGAAGUUAUUACUCAUGACUUCUAAUUCCUAAACCUAAUCGCUCACUACAAUAGCAUACCCAACUCCUUCAAGAGUGUGUGUGUGUAUAUUCCCGGUCUGGUCCAAUACAGAAAGAACUUAUAAUCAUAACAUCGACUCAAUUACAAAUUAUAGAUUAUAAGCUCAUGACACACGCACACGCGCGCGCGCGCGUGUGCGUGUGUGUGUGUGUUAAGUUUUUAAUAAGUAGAAAUUUUACCAUUUUUAAGUUUACUAUUACUGCUAUCUUAUUUUAAUUUGAUUAAUUUUAUUUGUUUUGCUUUAAUGACUUGAACUUAAUAAUUGCUUAUUAAAGUUGGAUUUUUAUUUGUUUAAUUAAUUGUUAAUGGUAGUUGUCUAUAAUUUUUACUCGUUAAUAUUGAUUAAAAGAUGGAGUAAGGCACUAAUUUUAGUUGUGAUGUUGGUGUAGGACAAAAAUAUUUUUUAUUAUAUUGAUAUAUUUUAUGUAUUUGUUUUAAUUUUAAAACUUUUAUUUCUCAUUUACAUUGAUAAAAUUUUGAACUGAGUAUUUUAUAUGAAUUUUUAAGGUUAUUAUUAUAAAUUUAUAGUUUGAAUUGUAUAAUUUGAAUUAUUAUGUAUUAUAGAGAUUUUUUUUAAUGUUUGUGAUUUUAAAUUUUGAAACCCGCAAAAGAUUUGCUGUGGGUUGUAGAUAAGUUUGGUAAUUAUUCAAACUUGCAGUGGGCAUGUUUGAUAAUUUAAACUUUGCAACUGGGAGUUUGAUAAUGACAAAUACGCAACUGGUACUUAUUGUCAUUCCUAACUAUUGACACUCCUUUAUUAUUCUCAUAAAAUCUCUACUAUUAUAAUUACAUUUAAUAACAAAUAUAAAGAGAAAUAAUUAUGUUUGUAUUUUCUCUCUCGCUUUAAUUUGUUUUAUUUACGCAUGUAUGACUUUUUUUUCUCUUUCAAUUUAUACAACUGGUUUACAAACUUAAAACAUUAAUCUUUCUUUCUUUUCAUAAUUAUUAUUUUUAAUUUCGGAGAGCUAGCGUUUUAAUUUUAUAGAAAGACAAAGUUUGAAAAGAAGAAGAAAGGUACCAGUUUUACAAGUAAAUUUUAAUUUUUAAGACAGAAAAUAUCUGAAAAUUGAAAAUUUUACAAAUGAAAAAAGUGUUUAUUUAAAAAAAAAAUAUGGACAAAAUGGUAAUGAUGAUGAGGAGAAAGUUAAGGCUGAUGCACGUGUGGUGUUCAUUGUAAGCCUAAUAAUGAAUCAAUAAUGGCAAAUAUUGUGAUUGGAAAACAAACGACUAUAUAAAAAAUAUAAGAAAAAAUAUAUUUUUUAAUAUAUGUAGAUGUUCUUAUAACAUAAUAAUGAGAUGUUCUCAUAACAUAAUAAUAAUUAUUUUAUAUGUGUGUGUGCGCGAGUGGAAGAGAACAAAAAAGGGAUAUUUUUAGUAUUAAGUAGGGUAAAAUUGAAAAAAAAAAUUAGGGGCUUUAAUAGAAGUUUGCAGGGCUGCCAAUAGUCAAACUCCUCAAUAUUUAGAAAACAUCGGGAUUAUGGGUCCAAGCCCAAUCUUUAGAAGACCCAAUAACUUCUCUAAUUCGCUAGAUGAAACGACGUAGCAAUUUCCUCCACUUACUUUACGUAUCACCGGCUUAGGCUUCCCUUCGCUGCUCGCAUCAAUUGAAUGGCUGUGUGGAGACCGGAGAAUAGAUUAGAACUGCAAAAAGCAACUUCACAAAUUCACUCUAGUAUCUCAGUCUUCAAGGUAUGAGUUUCAUUUAUCUUGAAUUAAUGAAAAUUCAAUGAACUUAAUUCAUAUAUAAAUGGCUACUCUUAACUAUUUCACUUGUAUGUAACAUCAGAACUACCGUUCGUACUUGCUCUUCAGUAAUGUUUCCCUAUCUGGGUCUAUCUCUUUAUUAGUAAAUUUGAUAGAAAAAUGCAACCUUUAAGUGUGUGGCCAUUAAAAGGUGGCUUUGCUGCAGUGCCUCAGUUGCAUUUUGAUGUUGUUUCUUCUAGUUUUUUAAGCACAAGAAAUAGGAGGAGAAAAAAAUGGAGUCUCGUUGAAUCUGUUUGUCACAGUAGAAACACUGGCUUCUUGUUAGUUUCGAGCAAUUCAACGUUUAGUUGUUGUGGGGUGUGUUGUAGGAGCAUUAAACUUGAUUCAAAAUGUGAGUUUCUAUCUGGGUUCUCUAGUCACAAAUUGGUUCUCUUUUGUGAGCCAAAGAAAAGUUAUUUCGGUGCGUCUGUGAUGUUUGCUUGGUCAAUGGAGCAACAAGAAAUUGGAAAUGGCCUCCUUGUAGAAGAACCAAACUCUGCAGAUGGAUUGUUGGUGGAAACCGAGAGUGAUAUUGUUGAUUAUCGUAGUGUUCAUAGAGUAGAAGAUACUGGUGAUAAUGGUAAUCAGGUAGAAAGCGAAGAAGUAGAAAUUAUUGGUGAGAGAGGAGUUGGGAAGCAGAAGAGUGGUAGAGUUGAUGUUAAGGCACUGGCACAGAGUUUAUGGCACACGAAAACGGCUGAUGAUGUGGAAGAAGUUCUUAAGGACAUGGGUGAAUUGCCACCUCAAGUACACUCAAGUAUGAUUAGAGGUUUUGGUAAAGAAAAGAGAACGGACUGUGCGAUGGCUCUUGUUGAGUGGCUAAAGAGAAAGAAGAGAGAAACUGGUGGUUUCAUUGGUCCUAACCUUUUUGUAUAUAAUAGCUUGUUGGGUGCAGUGAAACAGUCUCAAAAAUUUGAGGAAAUGGAUAGAAUUAUGAAUGAUAUGGCUGAGGAGGGGGUUAAUCCUAAUGUUGUAACCUAUAACACUUUGAUGGCUAUUUAUAUAGAGCAAGGAGAAGGUACCAAGGCCCUCAACGUCCUUGAGGAGAUAAAGAAGAAGGGCCUUACACCGUCCGCUGUAUCCUAUUCUCAGGCCUUGUUGGCUUAUCGAAGAAUGGAAGAUGGAAAUGGAGCUUUGAAGUUCUUCGUUGAAUUAAGAGAGAAGUAUCUGAAAGGUGAAAUUGGAAAAGGUGAUGAUGAAAAUUGGGAGAACGAGUUCGUUAAGCUUAAGGACUUCAUAAUUCGUAUUUGCUACCAAGUGAUGCGCCGUUGGCUUGUGAAGGAUGAAAACCUAAGCACUAAUGUGUUAAAACUUCUAAUAGAAAUGGAUAAGGCGGGGCUUCGGCCUGUUAAGGCAGAAUAUGAGCGCCUUGUAUGGGCUUGUACCCGUGAAGAACAUUAUGUUGUUGCCAAAGAAUUCUAUGCUAGGAUUAGAGAAAGGCAUGAUGAGAUAAGUUUAUCUGUGUGCAACCAUUUGAUUUGGUUGAUGGGGAAGGCUAAGAAGUGGUGGGCGGCUUUGGAGGUCUAUGAGGAUUUGUUGGACAAGGGACCAAAGCCUAAUAACAUGUCAUAUGAAUUGAUUGUUUCUCACUUUAAUAUACUACUUAGUGCGGCUAGGAAAAGAGGUAUCUGGAGAUGGGGUGUUAGAUUGCUCAACAAGAUGGAAGAAAAAGGCCUUAAACCUGGAAGUAGGGAAUGGAAUGCAGUUCUUGUUGCCUGCUCCAAGGCUUCAGAGUACAAUGCUGCUGUCCAGAUAUUUAAGCGAAUGGUUGAAAAAGGUGAAAAACCCACAAUUAUCUCCUAUGGAGCGUUACUCAGUGCCCUUGAAAAGGGUAAGCUCUAUGAUGAAGCCUCUCGUGUGUGGCAACAUAUGCUGAAUGUCGGCGCGGAGCCAAACCUGUAUGCCUACACAAUUAUGGCUUCAAUUUUCACCGCACAAGGAAAGUUUAACUUGGUUGAGCUGAUCUUUCGGGAGAUGGCUUCAUCUCGUAUUGAGCCAACAGUUGUCACAUACAAUGCAAUCAUCAGUGCAUGUGGGCAGAAUGGAAUGAGCAGUGCAGCAUAUGAAUGGUUUCACCGAAUGAAAGUUCAAAACAUCUCUCCUAACGAGAUCACUUAUGAAAUGCUGAUUGAGGCUCUUGCAAAAGACGGUAAACCAAGACUUGCAUACGACUUGUAUUUGAGGGCUCGGAAUGAGGAACUUAACCUCUCUUCGAAGGCUUAUGAUGCGAUACUCGAAUUCUCCCAAGUCUAUGGAGCAACUAUUGAUUUAACUGUUUUAGGACCUCGGCCACCAGACAAAAAGAAGAAAGUUGUAAUUAGGAAGAAUUUGUCUAAUUUCUGUCACUUUGCUGACGUUCCAAGGAGAAGUAAACCCUUUGAUAAAAAGGAAAUUUACACCCCACAAACAGAAAGAAACCAAUUGUGAGAACUUUAAUCUUUACAUGUCCUUGUUUUAGCUUGUAAUGACAGGAAGUUGAAUUUCUGUCCUCAUUAUCCAAGCCUGUUUGUUUAUAUAUACAAAAUGAUUGUGGAUGUUGACUCAGAUACAUACCAAAUACUAUCAUUUUGAUGACUCUCUUAAGUUUUUGCUUGUGGAAGCUGAUAAAAUUCAACUCAGUUUGUUGGUGAUUUUAGAGUCGAAUUUCAACGUUGUGAUGAGCGUGAACCCAAGCAAAAGGUGACUGACAUUUAGAUAAUAGGUUCCAGUAAUACUGCUUGCCAUUGAAUCUCCUUUUUUAGUGAAAUCCAUUGUCGCCAAGACUGGCCCUAUUUUGUCAUUUAUGGCAAAAUGACAAAAUCUGGAAGGCUGAGGCUCCAUGCUAGGACUAUUGAAUGGUUAAAUGGCAACCCAUUUGUUAUUAUUGCAUGAUAUCAUCACAAAGCGCCACAUUGAGGAUCAAAUCCAGAUUUUUUUUCUUAUUUUUUUGUAGAACUUUUAACACGUUCGAUUCUCUCAUAGUGGAACUGUCAUGUGCUGGUUGGUGGGAAUUUGUCCGAUAAAAAAUUCAUCCUUUUUGCUGACUUUUUUUUUUUUAAGUCUGUUAUACACAGAUAUUACUGACAUUACAUCAGACAUUACAAUUAAUAUUUACAAUCAUACUAUAUAACUGGGACCACCAUCAUAUAUUGACACACUGAAGUAUAUGCCCAGAUAUUUUAAACCCUCUCUAAUAUUCGAGGGGUGACUGCUCCACUCACAUUUCGUAAGGGAGAGACUGUCUCCAGUCAAUUAAUUGAUAAUUGAAGAAGAACUGAAACUAACCUCCAUAAUGCUCUUAUGGAGGUUCGAACCCUUGCACUCAACAUUACAAGUGCAAGGCUUCUCCCAUUGGACCAAAGGCCCAUUGGUAUCCUUUUUGCUGACUCAAACACCAAUGUUCGUUUAUUACACUGGAGAUGCACCAAUGAAAUGAUUGGAAAUUGCAGUGACAACCCGACUGACUCUUUACCCAUUAUUUAAGUCUAAACUAUAUUAUUUUCUUUAAUGAUUAAUUGUUGGCUGGCAAUUGGCAUUACUUAAACAAUAUACCUGCCGUGUUUCUUACUCAUCAUGGAUUAAGAAGUUUCAAGUUUCAUUGUUGGAUGGAUCGUGGAAAUUAAUUUGGGCCCCUCGAUUUCCCAUAUUUUACUUUGGAGGUGAAAUGAAAUUGUACGUGAGUUGUUGGGAAGUACACAUAUAACCACUUUCAAAUUUCAAAGUCAUUAAUGACCAUACUGCCAAUUUUCUUACAAAGAUAACCAUAAAAGGACACGACUGUUGAACCAUAAUCCCCUGAUGGUGUAUUUUCUUCUUAGAUUAGGGAAUGGAAUGGAAAUGGUUCCCAUUUCUUAUUAAUAGUGUUUGCUUGCUAAAAAUAAUAAAAAAGAAUGUAAAUCGAUUUUGGAUAACGUUCAUAAAUUUAGGAAUGAGAAAUGGAAAUCUCAUUUCUAUGGAGAGGUGGGAAUCCAAUGAAAAUGUGAAAUGAAAAAAGGAAGUGAAUUAACACUUUUACUCUUAAAUAAUCUAAAAAUUUCUUUUUCACGCCAUACUAAUAAUGAUGAUGAUAAUGAUGAAGUAAUUAACAAUAAUAAUAUUAAUAUUAAUAAUAAUUAUUAUAAUAUUACUAUCAUUAUUAUUAUAGAAAUUAAUAAUAUUUAUAGUAAAAAUAUUUACUCCUUAUUUUGUUAAUGAACAAAUACAUAAUUGUAACUAAGGGUAUUUUAGUAACUUAAAAAAAUUCAUUCUAAUUUCAAAAUAAAGUAAACACAUCCAUGAUGAUAUAGGUCAUUUCGAUUCCAAUUGUUGCACCUCAAGUAAAAAACUUAUUUUUAUUCUUAUUCUUUAUUUCAAUUUCAAUCCAAUUCAAUUUUUGCCCAUUCCAAUAUGGGAGAAGUAACAGCAUCAUCAGUCUAAUAUCCUAAAAUUGGUUGAGGCAACAUUGGGAGGGAAUUGCAGUAGAUAUCCCCCAUUCAAGCCAAAAAAAUUACAAAUAUGCCUUGACUUAGUUGACUCUUUAAUUUUGCAAACAUAUAUUUAAAAAAUUGAGAAAAUAAUAAAAUGAUCAUCAAUCACAUAAAAUUAUUCUACUUUGUACUAACUUCCUUAACUUUGUUUUUGACUUUCUCAACCUCAUACUCGGCUCACUCGACCUAGCACUUGACUUACUUAAUUACUUGAGUCUUAACCUUAUAAUUGACUUGCUUAACUUCCUACUCAACUUAUUUCUAAAUUAUUUUAAGUCACUAAAAAAAAGCAAACAACACAAAAAUGAGUGUUUAAUCACUAAUUUGAUGGAGUAGUGUGUGUUCAUGAAUUCUUUUAUGAGUUUAUGAUUGGUGGACCUUGUCUUUGAAAUGCGAAUGGAAUUGUGAGAGAGAAUAUAUUAUGGAAAAGAUAGAAGAUGAAAAGUAUUGAAGGAGAAACGAUUUAGCAAUAUAUAAAAAUAUAUGUUUUUUCUGUGGAUAUUUCUACUUUUCUUUCUAUGUAUAAUGGAGUAUAAACUUGAAAUUUUGGGCUAAAUGGAGUGUAUUGAAAAAAAAAAAAAAUCUAUUGUUGGACUAUGACUGCCAUCGUCCGCAAGAUGUCUAGGCAAUGACAGUCAUCGCCCAUGAAAGGCCUAGGCGAUGGCCAUCAUCGCCCAUAUAAGGCUUGGGUGAUGGUUGCCGUCGCCUAGAAUGGCCUGCAAUAGUCCAGGGCAAUUAGUGCCAUCACCCAUGCCUUUCUGGACAAUGGAUGCUCUCGCCCAAGCUAUUGUGUUGGCCAAUGGCAACAAGCAAUGAAAGGCAGCAAGAAUAGCUGGCGGCCAUCUUUGUGAUGGGCAUUGAUGUCGCUUAAAAGUGUAAGUUAUGAGCACAAAACACAUAAACUAACUAUUAACAAAGAUUAAAUUAAAAACAUUAUCUACACUUAAUGAAAUUAACUCAAACUUUUCAGAUCUAUUAAGGACACUCUAAAAAACAUGCACACAAAAAAUGAGGGGGAUUUGAAGUCAAUUGCUGUGUAAACUAAAUUAAAGAAUUUAAAGAAGAAAAUUUAAAAUUACGGAAAAUAGUUACGGUUUAAGGAAUCAUUCUCCACCACUAGAUAUUAGAUUUUAGGUUAAUUAUUAAAAUCAUCAAUUCACUUUCUUUUAAAAAAAAAAACAACUUUAAAAUAAUUGUAAACUUAGUUAUCUUGAUCUUUCCUACUAUUAAGUAAAAGUUGCUCUAUCUUUUUCUAAGUUGCUCUAUCUCUUUCUGACAAACAAUCCAGAAAAAAAAAUUUCAAAAGUUAAUUUAAUAAAAGUAUUAGAAUCAAGAAAGAUAUAAUCCGAAGCAAGAAACAAACACAUAACCUUGGCUUAUUUAUCUUGAAUUAUAUUCCACAUGCAAUCAAAUGAAAAUAUCCUAUAACUUUAAUCACAACCUACCACUUAAUUUAAUUCUUUGAUAAUUACAGAUAAAAAAACCCUAAAUUAGUAAUCAAAUUACUACAAAAUUCAUCUAGUUGCACACCUAAACAAAAGAGAUAAUAAUUCUUAAACAUUAAAAUUUUCUAGAUAAAAAUGAAAAAAUUCUGAUUUUGAAAAGCUUUACUAAUAAAAAUCUAUGUCUAAAAUUUUGAAAUCAACCCUGAUCAAUAAAAAAAGAUAACUCACAUGUGCUUGAAUUAUUCAGUAUCAAAUCUAUUAAAGAAAACAAACAAAAGACAAAUAGAAAGGAAGACUCAUGUGGCAAGGUUUUGACAAGAUUUUUUUUUUCUCAGAACAAGAUUUUGCCCCAAGGAAAUAAACUCACGUGACAAAACAGCUUCAAAAUCUGUUUUAAUUGUGGGCCCAAAUGUGAUCCUUAAUCUUAAUACAUGUCUAAAAUAACUCAAUAAAGUAAAUGGAGCCCAAAGAUUUGUCUAAGAAGAAUUUAAAUUUAUGAAGUUGCAAUUUGAUUAUUUUUCAGACCAAUUUGUAGGUUUUCUGCUCUUUUUUGUUUCUUUACCUCAAAAACUCCUACAAAAUAUAAGAGACUAAUAAAAAUUCAAGAAUUUUAUAAACAUAUCAAAUACCACAAAAAAAUUAUAAAAAUUGAUAUGAAAUUAAGCACUUAUUAGAUACCAUAGCCAAGAAGGCAGCAUGCUAUUCUCACUACCAUCUUGUAAAAUCAUUAAAAGAAAAAAAAGAAAGAAAAAGACACUCCAAAUCAAUAGCAAAGCCACUAGUUUAUUAUGCACCAAAGAAUGGUAACAACACAAACCAAAUCUCCAACACAAAGCACAACACAAAAGAUGUUAAAAUUCAUACAAAAACUCUUAUAGGAAUUGCAUAGAACAAUUAAUUAGUGUGCUAGAGUUGUGAACAACAACAAUUUGUUUUACGUGCCAAUACAACCCUAGUUAUUUUCUACAGUCAACUUUAUGUAGUAAAACUAUCGAAGCAUAUUCAAGGUUUUAGGAUUUUCCUUUCCAAAAAGAAAAAAAAAAGAGAAAAGGAGUUUAUAGGAUUUUGGAAAUUUUGAGAGUUUUGAUCAGAGAUGGUUAACAUUGUCAAAGCUAGACUGGUGAGAGGUGUGUGGUGGUUUAAAAGUGUUUUGGGCUUUUGAUUGUUUUAUUAUUAAGGGUGUUUUGAUAAAAAAAAAAAAAAGGAAUAUAAUUCAUUAACAUUCUAAGAAAAUUAGGGACAUGAACUUUCGUGAAACUGAAAAAUAAAAAUAAAAAGUGAUCAAAUCCGUAAAGAAAACUUGCACGAUGUAGCAUUCAAGAAAUCAGUUGCAAAAAUUAGAAUCGUUGGAAGCACUAGUGAACUGUGAAGUUAUCUUUAUUCUCUAGCAAAGAGGAGCCACAAAGGUACAAUAUUCUUCUCUUUCGGUCCCAAAUGAUAACUACAAAUCUACAAUUAAUGACACAAGCUUGCAAAAAAAAAACACAAAAAGAAUUAAGAAGGAUUUGUGUGGCUCAGGCCUAUCAGUUCAGAUAACACAUCCAUUUUUAUAGGUUUAUGGGUGUUGGUUGCGAGAUCCAAAAAAUUAAAUAAAACUGAAAUUUGUAUAAUUAAAAAUUAAAAAAAAAUCUAUGAAUUCUGUCAGAGGAUUCAUUAUACUUGCCCAAAAAAAAUAAAAAAAAGGUCUUCUAUGAUCGAUACAUCACAGCAACCUGACCUACACAAAUUUCUUCCAUUACAAGUAACUUGUUAAAAAUGCCAUCUUUAUAUUUAAGAGAUAAGAUACAAAAGUCGAUAAUUAAGCAGUAACAUCGCUAUCAUCCAAGCUUGUACGAUAGAAAAUUUUUACACGUUCAUGCAAAAGGCAUCUAAAGUUCUAACUUUCACAUUUUGUCCUCAUUCGUUACUUUGGUCGCGGGAUGGUGUGGGGUAUGUGACUGUGACUAUGAUUCUUCCCCUCACCUGAAAGAUAUUUUAUUUCCACAUAAGUCUCACUUUUGGAAAAUCACAUUCGCCUCCAUAACUUUUUAUUAUUUUCUCUAAUAAGGAAAUAAUUUGUCUAUUUAUUUCAAAAUCCUUUAGGGUCCUUAGGGAGUGCUUACUAAGUCACCCUCAACUAGCCUUCGUUAUCGAUAGUCGUCGCCAAUUUUCGAUAUCCUUUUAAGUAGAAGUUUGGUACUAUUGAAGUCUUUGUCGGAUCUAACUAUGGCCAAUGGGUCGGGCGGCACGUGGCACGGCACGAGCACGUUUCGGUAAGGCACAAGGCACAAGGCACAGCACGCACGUGGGCCGUGCUGGGCUUAGAAUUUUAGGCACGCGGGCCUUAAAGCACGGCACGAUUAGAGAUGGGCCAAAACACGAUACGCGAAAAAGUACGUAAUAAGCACGGUUCAUUGGUGGGCUAGCACGCGGCCCGUGAGCCAUCAAUAGCACGUGGGCCAAAAUAUAUCUAAGUAAAUUUUUUUUAACAAAAAGUAAAUAUAAAAUGUUAUGAAAUUAAAGUAAAAUAUCUUGAAAUUAAAUAUUUUAAUAUAUUUUGUAGCAUAGACUUUUAAAAAUUAAUUUAAAUCAUUAAAUCUUAGUUUAAAUAAAUAUUCUAAUUUUUUAUGUUUAUAAUUUAUUAAAUGAAUAAGUAAAUAUCAUGAUUUUAAUAAAUAAAAUUAUAAAUAUCAUAAUUUUAUUUAUGAUAUUUAUUAAAUGAAUAAUGUUAUUUAUGAUAUUUAAUUUUAUUUAUGAUAUUUAUUUAUUUAAUUAUUUAUUUAUGUUUAUAAUUUAUUAAAUGAAUAAGUAAAUAUCAUGAUUUUAAUAAAUAAAAUUAUAAAUAUCAUAAUUUUAUUUAUGAUAUUUAUUAAAUGAAUAAUGUUAUUUUUUCCCGUAUCCAUAGUUGUGAUUAAUAAAUGUUUUUUUCAUGCUUGUUAUUCAUCAAUUGGUCAUAGUUCGCGUUUUGUAGUUGUAACUUGUAAGUUGUGACUUAUGAUUUGUUAUAUUAAUAUUUCGUAGUUAUGACUUAUUGUAAUGAUUAUUCGAGGAUUGUAUUUUUAAUUUUAAUUAAUUAUUAUUAUGAUCUAUGGAAUUAAAUUUAUGUAUUGUUGUGUUAUGAAUUAUGAUUGAUUAUUGUGAAAUAAAAUAUAUAGUUGUGAAAUUGUGAUAAACUAAUAAUAAAAUGUUAAUUGCUCUCUUAAUAAAAAUUAAUAUGAUUAUGAUUAUGAAUAAUAAUAAUAUUAUUAUUAUUAUUAUCAUUAUUAUGUUGGUGGGCUUAAAAAAGCACGUCAGGCACAUGGACUUUUUUAAGCACGCUAAAAAAAAAAAAUUGGUGGGCUUUUUUUGGGCACGGCACGAGCCCGCUCGUGCCGUGGGCCGUGCCGGGCUCAACUAAAAAAAAGAUAAGCUCCCACGAGCCCUUGUGGGCCGACAGUUGCCGGCACGGCCCAUUGGCCAUAGUUAGUUGAAACCAUUGCCCGGGACCGACCCGGAUGUCAAACUUAGCUACCCGGACCCGCACCGUGCCCGGAAUUUUUCUAUGCGGGCCGGGCACAUGCCCGGCACUAUCCGGGCACGGGUUUUUCCCGGAUUUUCUCUACCCGGAUUUGAGUGAUGAUGAAUUCAAAUGAGGUCAAAAUCAAACUCUCAUAAUAUAUGUAUGGCUUCGAAAUUAACCAUUUAACUUCCUCUUUUACAGAAAUUCAUCUUCCAAGUUUCCAGAUGCAGAAUACACCAUAUCCAAAGAAGCGACCCAAAUGCAGGUUCUACAAUUUUCCUUUACAUUGACUACUAGAGCUAUUACUUAAACAAAAAAAAGGUUCAAUUUAAAUUUGUUGGAUUGCGGCAUUCGUUGCAACCUCACAGCAGGUUAUGCUUAAGUAGGGAGUUUUAAACAAAGGUUUGCCAUAUUCCUCUGAAGGUAUAAAAGGUAAGGAUUAAAAAAAGAAAAAAAGAAAAAAAAACAAUCAACACCAUUUGAAUUUUCCGUAAUGCGUUUGUACGAUGAAUUAGAAAAAAUAUUUCAACAGAAACAACUAGAUUGAAAUAUUUCAGACUAACAGUAAUGCUCUGUUUAUACAAGGAAGGGAAAAGACUAACAGUAAUGCUCUUUCUUAUUAUGUUCUGUGCAGGCAUUAACAAUGUAAACACUUCCAGCAUCCAAGAAAAUAAUUAAGCAUAUAUUGAAAGCAAUUUCAUCAUUUGUUUUUUUGAAAAAACAGCCAAAAAAAAAAUUACUUCGUGGGUCGUGGUUGUGGGUUGCAGGCUUGCAGCUGAUAUGGUGACAACUGAAAAAACAAUGGAGUGAGAGUGUGAGACCAGCUAUGGUGGCGGACGCUGUCGCGCGGUGGCUGCCGCUGAGAAGCUGACAACAAUGAAGAGCUCUGACCGUUUGACAGACUGACGAGUGACGACUGUGCUUUGCGGUUCGUGGAGGGAGAGGCGCGGUCAACUGUCAAUACUGCAUCACCAUCGGUGAAGGAUGGGUGGUGGCUGAGGCUGACUGGCUGUUGGUGGAGAGACGGAGGGAGGAGGUGCCGAUUUCGUGAUUUAGGGUUGGCCGAUUGGGUUUGGGGGAAAUUGGGCAAAGGCAAAUGGAAUUUUUCUUUUUAUAUUUUCCUCUUUUUUUUUUUUACUUAAUAAAAAAGCGGGCACGGGUCCGGGUUCCGGGUUCUUGGUGCUGUGACCGGACCCGUGCCCGUAAACACCCGGGCAUUGAAAAUCAAUGCCCGGAUCCGCAUUUUUCAUGCAUCCGGUCCGGGUUUUACCCGGACCGGAUGUGCCGGGUCCGGUCCGGAUCCGGUCCGGGCGGGCUUUUCUGCCAUCUCUAGGCUCAACUGAAAAAAAGGUAGUCAUGGCACGGCACGACACGGCCCACCAAUUUGGUGAGUCGUGCCGUGCCAGCCCACGAGCCCUUAUGGGCUGACAGUUGAUGGCCGGCACGGCCCAUUGGCCAUAGUUAGUCGGAUCUAUAGAGUAAUAUAAUCAUCACCAGCGAAUCAGCGAUUACACUUUCGUUUGCCAAAAUAAGAAUUAAAAUUGUUUGGCCAUCAUUACUCAUUGCCAUUGAGCAUCAAUGAGUAGUGAGUCGAAGACACUACUGUUUGGUUGAGAUGAAACUGUAGAUGGUGGCAUUGUCUUACAAUUAAUGUCGUUUAAUGAUGAUUUAUAAAGGCUGAAGAAUUUUUAAACUUUUUUUAGUAUAACAAUAUCUUAAUAUUUGAGGAUAUUUAUAUCAUUGUGAAAACUUAACGAUAAGAAUUCGAACAACACUAAAGUUAGCUUCAAUAGACAUUAAUUAUUAAAAGCGUAGUAGAAGAAUUAUAAAACUAAAGAUGAUUCUAAAUAUGAAGACAACAUAUAUUUUUGUCUAUACCUAUCUUUUAGUUCAGCUUAAUCGUAAGGGUCAUGCACACUCUACUGCUAAGUUAAACAAUGCACGCCGUGAUGGUACAUUGGUCAUUUCAGUAGAUCAGUGGUGUUUGCGGUGGGGACCUAUUUCAAACAAAUGGAUAAAUGUAACCUUCUUUGAGAAAAUACAGAAAAAAAUGGAUCAAAAUGUUAUUUGGAGUGAAAGCAGAGACACCGGCUAACGUCUCCUGAGAUUCAAAACUAUCAACGACAAUUUUACUUUGGUAAAAUCCAUGCCGACUUUUUAUUUAUUUAUUUAUCUUUUUAUCAUUUUCAAUGAAUAUCAUAUAAUAUAAUUUUUUCUUUUCAUUUUUCUGUUGAAGUCACAGGGUGGUGGUAAGUGGUAACACAAUGUCCAAGUCGCUUCUCGUUGCUGGUUGAAGCACCAAGAAAAAAAGAAAAAAAAUCAAAAUCUCAUUGAAAAGCAAAAUUACUAAAACAAAGGAGAGAAGAGAGCAGUUUCUGUCUUUUUGAUAGUAUAGACGGGUAUGGUAACUGCUCUACCAGACGAUUGCUAUCAUGUUGAUAACUGCUCUAUCAGACGAUUGCUAUUAUGUUGAAGCUUUGAAAUUGAAACUGUUCUUUCAUAUGUCUUUGGUCCAUUCUCCCUUACCCUGUUUGAUACCUUUCGUAUGCUCGAGGACUGUUUACUUGAACAAAGGAAACUUCUCAAGAGACCAACCCAUCUUUUGUUUUGAUCAUUUGGGGCCAAAGAAGAGCAAAUUGUGUAUUUGUACUUUGUUUUUGUAAUUUGAAGUGUAUAAGAAGUUGGUUUUUUUUUUUUUUGUUCAUUUGCAGGUUUGUUUUGGAGAUGGGUUUGCUGUGAAAUUUACAGAGAUCUAAGGAGUUGAGAGAAUAAAAUGGAGCCACCCAAAGGGUUUUUGGCUUCGUUAUGGAGCUUUAUUUGCUUUCUGCCUUACUUCAUUGGGCUUCUGCUUCUGGGCAUCAUUAAAGGUAAUUUUUUUUUCAAUUGUCAAUUUUGUUCCUGGUUUGGUUCUAUCUUGUUCUGGUAGUUGACCCUUCUUCCAUUUUUUUACUCAAUUUGCUUGUAGUUGCUUAGAUUAGCUUCUUUAUUUGUUUAUUUAUUUUGUAAUUUCCUGCAUCAAGGAAAAUGAUAUUUUAAGAACAUGAAUUUGUUUAUAUGUUGAUUGAUUAAUUUUGUAACAUAAGCGUUUUUUUUUUUAAAUUUUUGCGUGUAUAUAGCUAUAAUGCUUUUGUGAGUAGGUCAUUCCUAUAAAUAAAACUGAUGUACACUUGAGGUUGCCCCUACUGUAGCAUGUCUUUUGUUAGACUUUCCUUAGUUGGCAUUUGAUUGAGGGAGCUUGUUACCUUACAUAAUUAUGUAAGGUACAUAACUCUUCCACAACCGUUUGAUGAAAAUCCAACGGCUUUAUCAAACGGUUGUGGAAGAGUUAAGUACCUUAACUAAACCCUUGAUUGAGAUUAUACAAUAAUUUCCGUGCUUAGCAUGCAAUAAAAUCCACACAUUGAUGAUGAUGUUUUACGGUUUGAGUUUUAAUUGGAGAGAGUAGAAUAAUCUCCGAGUAUUUAGUUAAUAUAUGUCUACAUUUGGUAACUGUUCAAGAACCAUUUAGUAUAAUGCAUUGAGCUGCCAAUUAAGAGAUGUUCCCUUACUGUGGUUAAUGUGCCAAUCCUUAAUCUACAAUGUAUUUUCAGGAAUCAUUUUCUGCCCUGUGAUAUGCCUUAUGAUGACAAUUGGAAACUCGGCAAUCAUAUUGGGGCUUUUGCCGGCUCAUGUCUUAUGGACUUACUAUUGCAUUCUCAGGUGGUUUCUUUGUCUCUUCCUUUUUUUUUUCCUUAACAUUUUUUUUUUCCUUAUAGUAUUAGCUAUUUUGUAGUAACAUGUUCUCUUAUUUUGUUAAAUUUCCCUGACUAGCAGAGCCAAACAAUUAGGACCAGUUCUGAAGCUUCUUACCUGCAUAUGCAUACCAGUUUUCUUAAUUUUGUGGCCAGUCGUUAGCAUUGGUGCAAGCAUCAUAGGGGGAGCACUGUAUGGCUUUCUUUCACCAAUAUUUGCCACUUUUGAUGCUGUUGGAGAAGGGAAAACUAAUGACAUUUUCCACUGUUUUUACGUAUGUCCUGGUCAUCAAAAUUUCUAAUUAUCUUUAUAUCUUUUUUGUGUUUUAGUUUGUCCUUUACUUAUUAAAGUAAGGGAUUCCUUGUGAAAUUACUCUACAACAUACGCACACGUAUACGUACUCUGUUCUCUUACUUCUUUUCAUUUUAGAGACUUUGGAUCACUUCAUUUGCAGGAUGGGACUUGGAGCACGAUUAAACACAGCUUCACUAUUGUCAGAGAUUUUAAAGAUGUCUGUUUCCAUUCCUACUUUUCACUUAUGGAUGAUCUGCGACAGAAACAGGCUCCAGAUGGAAAAUAUUAUGAGAUAAGGUGUGCUGUUUUCUUUUGCUGCUAAGAAAUUCCUUUUUUAAGUCCAUGUUGCUGCUAUUAUCCAAUUCACGACAAUCACUAGGACAUCACUCGGUAUAAUUUUUCAGUUAACAGUGAGAAUUAACCAUCAAAUCUGUUCAUUUAGUACUUGUUAUCCACUUUUGAAUAUCUCUUUUGCCUUUUAGAUCGACCCUUUUCAUUGACCGUGUUUCAGAUUGCUCUAUAUUCCUGGUGCCAUCAUUGCUGGGGGGCUUGGUGUCCUGAUUGAUGUGCCAGUGAUCUCAGUUGUUGCCCUAUGCAAAAGCCCUUAUAUGCUCUUUAAGGGGUGGCAUCGUUUGUUUCAUGACCUUAUAGGUCGAGAAGGGCCUUUCUUAGAGACUAUAUGUGUACCAUUAGCUGGCCUUGCUAUCAUACUCUGGCCAUUGGCUGUUGUUGGGGCAGUUUUGGGCUCCAUGGUGACCAGUAUCUUCCUUGGUGCUUAUGCAGGGGUGGUUGUUUAUCAGGUUCGAAUCAUUUGCCUGUUGGUUUCCUUGCCUUUUACAAAAGUCUUGCGUGAGCAGGCAUACGGAAACCUUUUCAAUGUGGCACUUGAAAUGAGUCAAUAACUUCAUAUACUAGAAUGAAUGAUUAUAUCAUUGUUUCAUCUUUAUAUUUUUCCCAUUUCUGUUUUGUUCAAUGCCAACAAUUUAAAUUGAUGAAUUAACACUGCAGAAUUUCAUUGUCCAAUGGCAAUUGUAUCCCUAAGAGAAAUCUAUAAUUGAUUAUCAUUUUCUUCAAUGGAUUGUAAUUAUGUUGUUCAUAAUUCAGUUCAUCGUAACAGUGGAAUUGAUUGCAAGCUUAUUCUAAUUGCUGAGCAUUUUUUGCCUUCUUGCAUAUGUUCCAAGUAUAUACUAAAACACAUCGCUAUUCAUUUCAGACGAUGAACUUAAUCCAUUGUUCAAUUUGUUGUCGUAUAAUAUCAUUAUGUCAGUUACCUUAUUUGUGUAGCCUUUGUAUUACAGGAAUCCUCCCUUUGGUUCGGGCUUCGCUAUAUUAUUGCAGCCUUGUCAAUUUAUGAUGAAUACAGCAAUGACAUACUUGACAUGCCAGAAGGAUCCUGCUUUCCUAGGUUCUGUUCCACACUCUAAUAUCUUAUGGUUGUGAUUGACACUCCUUUUCUUUUUUUGGCUUUUAGUAAUUUUCUGAAAUCAACAGGCCCCAGUAUCGAAAGAAGGCAGAUCUCUCGCGGACCAGUACUUUCUCAAGGCCUAGCUCUUUCAAAGAUCCUCCCUCUCGCACCAGUUCACUUAGGAAGCCAAUUGAUUUGAAGCCACUUGAGGUAUCUUGUGCCAUUUUCCAUUUUGCUUAAAUGGAAUGCUUAUGAUCAGAGAAAAUGCGCAUAAUAAUUUUGUGGAUUCUAAUACUGGUUUGACUUUACUUGUGUAACUUUAUUUAUGAAGGCUUCUAUAUUUAGCUCAUAGGUUUUAGCUCAUAGGUGUUGAAAAAUGUUUUUCAUGAAUCAUGUAGCUUCUUGAGCGCUUAUUUAAGGAGUGUCAACGCCAUGGCGAGAUCUGGGUUUCUGAAGGACUAAUAACAGCUAAAGACAUUGAAGAUGCCAAAUCUAAUUCUGGUAGCCAAGUGGUUAGUAUAGGGUUGCCAGCAUAUUGUCUUCUCCAGGCACUCCUGCGCUCUGCAAUGGCCAAUUCUCCGGGAAUAUUGUUGAGUGAGUGAAUACUUUUCUUUUCCUGUAGCCAUGUCUUCUGACUUCUCUCGUGUGUGUAUGGGUGAAUGUCUUGAAGCAAGAUACUUCUCCAUGAUCCUUCAAAGAGCAAUUUAAUUUUUUAUUUUAUAAAGUGUUGUCCCUCGGUCUUGAGAACAUGUGGAUAUUCAUUGUAUUAUCACCUUUGAUGUAGGUGACAGCGUUACUGAGAUAACUAGCUCAAACAGACCAAAGGACGUGUUCUUUGAUUGGUUUUUUAACCCCUUCUUGAUAAUCAAGGAGCAGAUAAAAGCAGAAAACUUAACAGAGGCAGAGGAGGACUACCUAAGCAAAUUGGUACUAUUUUGCGGCAAUAUUGGGAGGUUAAAGGAUUUAAAUGUCUCACCGCCGGAAUCUGAGCGUAAACGAGCGGAACUUGGUGCAUUAGCACGAAGGUAGCAGUGAAAAACAUCUUACAAGAUACCUUGUCUUUUCCUUUCUUUGGAGUUUUGUUAAGCUAUGCUUCUCCAUUUGACCCCCUUCAUUUUUUUUCCCCUUUUUUGUACUGCAGGCUUCAAGGGAUCACCAAAUCUGUCUCAAGAUAUCCAACUUUCAGGCGGCAGUUUGAUGAUCUGGUAAAGACCCUCACAGAAGAUCUUGCCAAGAAGAACGGUGGCAGUGAAUCAACAAAUGUGCCUAAGACAAUGCAAAAAUCAAAUAGCGCAUUGGCCCGGUUUCAGAAAUCCUUUAAAAGAUUAACAAACAGUAACAAUGGACGUUAUGAAGAGUCGCAAUCACAAUCAGAUGCUUUAAGGGACUUAGAAAUUUUGUGAUUUGGAAUGUCAAACAGUUAAGGCAAGCUCAUCACAUGCUGAAUUUUACUGCUUGUAAGCUCGCACAAGGGAGAAGAAAGCAUUUCUUAAGUAAUUGCUUGUAGCUGGCCACUGGGGAGAGGAGAACGAAAUUCAUUUUUAUAAAAAGCAGUCAACAGAGAAUAAGGCUUUUCCCUGUGCAGAAAAUUUAACAGUGAAAUGUAUAUUGCUAUUUGUUUUCUUCAUAAUUGUUGUAUUUUACCAUCUAAGAAUGAAAGAGUAAAGAAAAUGACAAUGAGGCUUUCUGAAGGAUCAGCUGUAAUUUAGAAGCUGCAAAUUGCAAUAGGCUGCUGCAUUCUGUAUCCCAGCUUCAUGUAUAUAAUCCGUACAUUACCCAUAUAGCUUAUUUCUAACUCAACAACAUGAGCUUACAAAUAAAUUACCAUUUAAUAAUUGAAUUGCAUCUCUGUGGCCUGCCUCCUAUUUCUCUUUUGACAACAAACCGUACUACGGAGCUAUAAAAUGGGUCCGGUUACUAUAUAGCCGGAUCGAAGCCCAGAAUCAUGAUGGGCCCAUUAUUCUAACAAAUCGAAAUGACGCUUUUUUCUUUUGACUAUCAUCAAUUUGUUCACUGCACACCAACUGACUAAGUCAAUGGCGGCAAGCAUGACCCAAAAACUGUUAACCCCCACGAUCUCCAUUCCCCACCAAAAUAACCAACUCUUUACCAUCUCCUUAUUUAAGCAAUCCCACGCCUCCCAAAGAACACUCACUAAACUUGCACUUGAUUCAUCUUGCUGCACUGCCAAUCAAUUCAAUAUGGCUGCUACUACUAAUGAUUUCUCCAAAAACUCAGUCAACUUAACACUCCUCCUUUUGGCCAUCAUUAUCUCUUCUAUUCAUCAUCUCCCAGUUCACUCCUUGGAGUUCCAAGUUGGCGGCAACCGCGGAUGGGUUGUCCCUCCAGCCAAUGACAGCAAAAUCUACAACGACUGGGCCUCAGAGAAUAGAUUCCAAGUUGGUGACACCAUACGUGAGUCCCAAGCAACGCGUGAAUUAACAUACUUCAUUCUUCUUGUAUACUUUCCUUUUAGCUUUUGAUCCAUUGUACAUGUUUGUGUGCAGGCUUCAAGUACAAGAAGGACUCAGUGAUGGAGGUGACAGACAAGGAAUACAAGAAGUGCAAUUCCACGCACCCUAUCUUCUUCUCCAACACAGGCAACACAGCGUUCAGGCUCGAUCACCCGGGGCCUUUUUACUUCAUCAGUGGAGCAUCUGGCCACUGCGAGAAGGGUCAGCGAAUGAUCAUCAAAGUCAUGUACCACGAAGAGUCCUCCCCCAGUACUGGUGAUGAUCAUGGCCACAAAUCCUCUGCUUCUCCAGCCGCUGUCUUGGCUCUUGCAGUUUCUAAGUUGGCCAUUGUUCAGUUUCUGCUGCUGCUUUGUACUACUGCUUCUUAUCUCUACUAGAUUGAUUGUAAUGUUGCUGUUUUUAUUGUAAGUUUUUUGUUUUGGAAAUUUCUUCACUUAUUCUUUUUGCAGAUGUUGGGUUCAUUAGCUUUUAAUAUUUUCUUGUGGAAUUUGCUUAAUUGGAAUGGCACAAAUGUGAUUGUCAGUUGUCACUUUCAGAUUUUCAUGAUCUUUAGGAUUCAAUUUUGUUGACGCUUAUUCGAUAUAAUUAAAUAUAAGAGUUUAAUUAAAAUAUUAUCAACGAAUCAAUCAUGCAUCAUUAACAUGAUAAUUUAUUUACCAAAUACUAAAACUAGUAACCAUCUAAAUUUAGCACUUGAUAUUGAUGACUGACUAACAAAAGUCACAAAAAAGGGCAGAGUUUAAACGCUCUUUAUCCCCUAAAAUGAAAUUGGAUUCUCUCUUAAUUGUGUCUCAAACAUGAAUAUGAUUAUUUUACAAGAAUUCAUUCAUUAAAUUUCAUGGGUGGUUGAAUUCUUUUAAAAAUAAAUCUAUUAACUUUUCCUUGCAAUUGCAUUGCAUAUUCUCGUUCUCGUCGACGACAAUAGCUUAUUUGUAAAUGGAUCUUAACUUUAAACUUAGUUAGUUUUUUUUUUUUAAAAAAAAAAGCCCCAUGAACCUCUUAAUAAAAUGUAACAUUAUGAUCUAUUUAAUAGAAAUUUAUACUUGUUUAACAAAAUUGUAAGUACAGAAAAAAAAAUAAUAAGAAUGUAAUUUAAAAGUGUUUCUAUUCAUUUUCAUUCAUGUUAGUGAGUUUCAAACCCAAACUCUUAUAAUCACUGAAAAAACUUAUAAGUUGUAUCAACACCUAAUUAUUUUCAUCAUCUAAUUAUUGGUGUACUUUCUUACGAGUACACAAAUUAAUUAUAUUUGAAAUGUGACAUAUGACACAAAUUAAGUAUUUUGAAAUGUGACAUAUGACGUACUCAUCAAUAAGUCUUAUGUACGAUGAAUAUUUUUUUAUAUAUGUCACUUUUGAUUAUGCUACAUGUGUUGAUAUGCAAAAUUUUAUCUCAAUUUUGUGAGCAUAAAACUAUUUAAUAGUAUCAUUAUUUUUUUAAAAGAAAAUAUAUUAGUAAACAAAAUUUAAAUUAAUAUUUUUUAGCUCCCUGUCUCUUUUAAGAUUCAAAUAAGGAUUGUUAGUUAAAUAAAAUUACUUAAAGAUCACUCUACCAGACGAGAAAAGAAUGUGUCGAUCAAAUCAAGUUGUUUAAUAAAGAGUUUUCAAUAAAUCUACUACAUUCAUAAAAAUGGUAAGUAACAAAAUGUGAAAAAAAUCACGACUAAUCAAUCAAAAUAUUUGACUAGUUACCAUAUAUAAAUACAUAUUUUUUAUUAAGCUACCAUAUAUACUUAGAAUACAUUUAUUAGUUACUUUUUUUUUUCUUUUUUAACUUCUCCCGUAGAUAUGGUAUACAAUUUGUGACCAAUUUUCACAUAAAUCCAAAAAAAAAAAAAAUUCUCAAUUAAAAUUAUACAUAUGAAAAUACAAGGAAUUAUUUUAAUUUAAAAUUUUAACAUAAAUUUUGAGUUAUUAAUCUUAUGUAAUCUAAUAGUGGAUAUUAAAAAUAAAAUAAUAUUUAACAAUGCGACUCACCAUAUGAUUAAUAAUUUAAAAUUUAUGUUUAAAAUUUGAAGUCCAAAAUUUAAAUUAAAAUAUCCUCACCCAUAAAAUUAUAAAAUAGUAAAUAAAUAAGAAAAAGUAAUAAUAAAAAAUAUAAGUUGUGUGUAAACGGAAGAGAGGGUGCUUCUCUUUUCUCUCAACACCUAAUUAGGAGUUUUAAAGGAGAAGAAAAAUGGUGGAUGAUGAUGGGUGGGAGGACAAUGCAGCGGGAACCUGGGCAGAAGAAUCCUGCUGGUCACAGAAACGAGAACAAGAAGAAGAACUAAGUAAAGAGUUUGAGAAGAACGUAGCCUUGACUGAAGAAAGUUACAAUCCUGAUGGCAAUGGUGACUCCCAAGGGACAAAACAUGAGUACCCAUCAAGGCCCUUUGCUGAAGAUUGCCCGUUUUAUCUUCGAACUGGCUACUGCAAGUUUGGUUUUUGUUGCAAGUUUAACCACCCUGUGAGAGGGGACUUUCAGGUACAAUAAUUUGUGCACGUGGGUUAAAGUGAUUUUACUGUCAAUGCUUUUCUUUUUCUUUCUCUUAUUUUUAUUUUUAUUUUUUAUUUUUUUAAUGGGGGUGUUGUUUUGUAGGGUUUAAAGGAGAACGAAAGAGGAGGGUUUGUGGGGCAGCAUCUGGGACAGAUUCAGUGCAAGGUUUGGACUUUGCUUACAAUACUUCAUUUUGAAGUUUCUGUUUGCUAAUUGUUUAUUUUAUUUUGAUUAAUUUGUUUUUGUGUUGAUGUUGACUUGCAUGUUGGGCCCUUUUGACUUUUUAAUCUUCUGUUGAGUGGUUUGUGGUAAUGAUUUGAUUAAUCUUUGAGGAAAAAAAGAAAAAGGGUCUGAGGGAACUACUGGCCUGAUAUAUCACAUUGUGUGUGUGUGUGUGUGUGUGUUUUGGUGUAUUUAGUGGGCUGUGAUGUUAAUGAUUUAAGUCUACAGUUGCAGCUAUAUUUUUGUUUGUGUUGUAAUUAAUAUAUCAUGUUAUUACUUCACUCUCUUUUGCAUGCCUUCCCCUGCAUGUGCAUGUAUAUAUAUUUUUAAAAUCUUCUUUUGACUGCUAAAAGUUAGUAGUGAAGUACAAGCCGUUCUUCUCUUGUGCUAUCAGUCUUAAUUUUAAUUGAACUAAUUAUUUCACAUAGCCAGCUUCCUUUCGGAUCUGCACUGCACUAGCUUAUUUUCACAUCACAUAAUUAAUGCAUAUAAGAAGGAACUUUGGUUUUCUCCUAUUUGUAUAAUUUAUUCUAUCAAUGAUAUUAAAUGAAUAAAAUAUAACAAAAAGCUUUUCAAAGUGAGCAAAGCUUAGAUAGUAAGUGUACUAUUGUUAGACUGAUUUAAUUUGUUAUUGUGAUAAAGUGUUGUUUGUGCGAAUGAAAUAAAUUUUUUACAGAUCAUGCAAUUUUACCUGCAGUAAUAUGUUUCAAAACUUUUGCAGUUUUACCAAAGUACGGGAGGUUGCAAGCAUGGAGAAGCAUGUAGAUUUAAACACUCCAUAGAAAAGUCUGAGGUAUCAAAAUCGGUUUUGAAUGCUUUUAAUUUGCCAAUAAAAUUGGUAAUAUGUUUUUCUGUCUACUUUUUCAAAUGCAGUAACAUUGUGAUUUAAGUAGUCAUAUGGGGGUGACUGCAAAUUGGUCAUCUUUUUUUUUUUCCUCAUUUGUUGUUUCUUUCCAUGGAGAGAAAGGUCAACCAUUUCUUUCUCUCAUUCUCUGUCUCACGCGCUCAGUCUGACAUUCACACAUGAAUGCACAUAAACAUGUGCUACAUGCACAUGACUUUUGCUUUUCUUCAAUGCUUAUGCUUGACACUUUAAUAAAUCCUUCCCUUUUCUGGUGUAAACAAAAUGAAGGAGAGCAAAGGUGAAGGCCUUAUGGAGAAGACAGUGCAGAUUCAAUGCAAGGUGUGGACAUUGUUCAUAAUCCGUCUGUAUGCUCAUAUUAUGGACAUUGAUAGAUUUUUUAUCGUAGAACUGGAUUAAUUAUACUGAAAUUUUAAUUUGACACGAGUUACUGUCAUUUAUCGCAUUCCUUCUGUUGACAUGAAAAACCUUGCUGGCUUACUAAGAUGCUUUUACCUAAUAAGUGUGCAGUUGUUCUAUUGAUCUGAUGAGUUAAUGUGAUAAAGUGUAACCUUUAAAAAUUGAAUAAUUUUUUCACAAAUCUUGUAGUUAUACCUAAAGUAUUAUGUGUCAACACUUUUGCAGUUUUACCAAGGGACAGAAGGAUGCAAGCAUGGAGAAGCUUGUAGAUUUAGCCACUCCAUGGAGAAGUCUGAGGUAACAAAUCCAGAUUUUAAUUCUUUUGGCUUGCCAAUAAAUUCUGCAUGUAUGUUUUUUCAUCUAAAAUUGAUCAAAUAUUGCUACUUCCUAUUGAUGAAUUUGUGGUCGUAUUGGGAUGACCGAUUUCUUUCUUAAUUUUCCUUUCUUUUUGUUUCCAUGGAGAGAGAUCACUUAUUUCUUUCUCUCUGUCUGCCUCUCUCUCUAUCACAAAUGGAAGCACACGCAUGCUUGCAAAUGACUAAUAUCUUUUUAUUUUAUUUUUUUCUUUUCUUAAAAAAUGUUUGGCACCUACUGUAACAGAACCCCCUUCCCUUUUCUGGUGUAAACGGAAUGAAGGAGAGCAAAGGUGGAAGCCUUGUGGAGAUGACAGGGCUUAUUGGAUGCAAGGUUUGGACACUCAUUAUAUUCUAUCUUUUUGCUGCAAUAGUUAUCCUUUUGUCUUCCCUAUAAGGAGCACUUCUGUAUUAUUUGUAUUCCGAGACAAUUACAGUUCUGGUGAUAACAUAUGAUCUGAGAAGCCUGGUUAAUUGACAAUGAUUUUGGAUAAGAACCUGGAGAGGGAAAAUAAAGAUAACCAUUGCCCUAGCUGAUAUAUUUUUACUAUGCAAAAAGAGUGGUUGAACUGAAGUAAAAAAUAUGAUUCCAUCAUUUGAUGGACGAUCUGAAUAGGAAAUAUUAUUUUGAAUGGGUUGUCCUAAUGCAAAGUAAGUCCUUUUAUAUUAUUAGCAAAGGAUACUAUAGCAGGUCGAGAAGUUAAAGGGGGAAGAAAACACAGGACAAGAUAGUGUCAAAGUUUUCAAAGCAUAGAUCCUGACCUACAGUAUUGGAUAAACUAACAGUCAUGCUGAGCAAGCAUUGGAAAUUGGGAUUAGGUAUCAAUUGUCACGAUGUUCCUUUAGUAAGUGAUAAGUCAAUAAGGCUUGCUGGGAUAAUAUUAUCUUUGAUAUCCUCCAAAAGAUGAUAUAACUUUUGGUUCCACUAAACAUCAAAUGAAUGUUGAGUCUAUGAUAAUGGAUUCUGUUGCGUCUAAUGCAGUCAUUUUGCAAUUAUUUUUUAUUCCUUUUUAGUGUAAUACUUUAUGCCACGUUUGCAACUAAUAACUGAGCCUUUGUUGUUACUGUUCUAGUAUCACUUAUCUGCUGGAGGGUGCAAGUAUGGAAACACUUGUAAAUUUAGUCACUCCAAAGAGAAGCCCCAGACAUACAUUAAAAAGUCUGAGAAAGCAUCACCUGAGCUUAACUUUUUAGGUCUUCCAAUCAGAGUGGUAAUACCUUUAUGUUUCACUUUUUUGCUUAGUGUUUAUUUAUUUAUUUAGUUUAAACAUUAUAUUCUGUAAUCAUUUAUACUGGUGUAGAUUACAAAAUUGUCUUUUCAUUUCAGCAUGAGAUAGAAUGUCCUUUCUACAUGCGCAAUGGCUCUUGUGCAUAUGGAGUUGAUUGCAGGUUUAAUCAUCCUGAUCCUGUUGCUGAUGAAGGAUCUGAUCAUUUCAAUGAGGCAUCUAACCCAGCUUCAAGAUCAUGGUCUCCAAAUAUAAUAUCACGUAAAACCGUUCCCAACUUGGAUAAUCACUCAUUUCAUCCUCAUUGGAUGCUAAAAUCCAAGUUUAAUAGCCUUCAGGUAGCUUUGAUCAUGGUGCACUCACUCUUUUCAUGUCGUUAUUAUUGUUUCCAUACAGUUUUCUUUCCUGUAGAAAUUUUUAUCUCUAGUUUCUGCCAUUAGUGCAACCAUUUUCCUGUUAACUGUAAUGUUGAUUUGAGAUCCAUGGGAAGGUUGGUUGGUUAUUCACUCAAAGAUAUCAUACAAUCUCUCCAUGUCAGAUUAGUUUACUUGUGCUUUGUGUUAAAUCAAAUGGAAGCACAGCGCUAUGAAAUAAAUCUGAACCAACCGUCCCUCAGUGGUCUCGUUUCAUGUGGGAGAGAAUGGAGUUCCUGUCCAGGAGUUAAUUGUCUUGAAUUAGCCAUUAUGUCCUUCCCUCAGUGGUCUGGUAUGGUGUGAAGUUGAGGUCAUUUGGAAGAUUAAUGGGCCUUUUUGCACAUAUUGCAGCACUAUACAACUAGUUCUAAAGUUAUAGCUUAUGGUGUGCUUUGAAUUGUGAACAGAAGAGUGACAAUUGAUUCUUCUGUUGCCUAAUCUGCAUUUGUUAUUAGUGCAACAUGCUCGAAUUCUCUCUCAGUCUCUGUCUGCAUAUGAUGUGUAUAGAGUAAUUGUGUGUAUGUACGACAUGAGUAGUGGAUUUGUGGGUCUGUUGGUGUUUAUUUGUGCACAUUGUAUAUUAACUGAUUCUGCCUAUCAUAUGGCUUGCUUAGGGAUCCGUUUACCCACAGGCAAAAGCUGAGCUGGCUCUUUCAAGUCCUGCGCUUGGCAAUCUAACAAAGACGGCAGAUACCUCCACAUAUCAUCAAUUCAAUGAAUUUCCUGAGCGACCAGGUGAACCUCUAUGUGAUUACUUCAUGAAAACUGGGAAUUGUAAAUACAGAUCUGCUUGUAAGUUUCAUCAUCCCAAGAAUGGAGAUGGAAAAUCACCUGUUUGUACUUGGUGACUGUGGCAUGCUCAAGAGACUCCUAUGUAAGUUCCAUCAUUUUGCUUAUUGCUUUCUAGGUGUUGGAAUCCUUUUUACGUUAUAGCAUGUGAAACAUUGUCAUCCUGAAUUCCAAUCUAUCAAUUGGGAUGUUCAUUUUGAGCAUCCAUAGAUAGUCAGUCUAUACAGUUUAAGGCAUGGAAUUUGGUAUUUGGGCUUAUGAAUUGCAAUCUAGUCUUAGUAGCAAAUUUCAUUCUCUGUGGAUUGUUGUGCUCCCGUGUGAUUUUCUAACAAUCUGUGAUUACUCGGAGAGAAUCAUAAACUAAAUACUAAUAUAUAAAAAUAGAAUACAAACACACACACUAUAAAGAAAAUCCUGAGUCCUCACAAAAUCAUUCACACCAAAAUUAUAGGGAAAAUUUACUAACACUAGAGCAUGAGGUCACCUUUCAGAGUCCCACAAAGUCAUCAAAAUAUUCUACACAAAGUACAUGAAAUGUUUUAGCAGUUUUCUUAUGCUUAUCAUCUUUCUCUUUUCCCCUAGAUUACGUACAAAAUGAACAAUAUGGCGCAAUAGAAAUAGCAUAAAAGAUAGAAAACAAUUUGCAAGGACAAAGGAAAAAAAAAAACCGUCGUAUGCUGCUCCCUCUUGUCACACUUUUGAGAUGCACCCAUGAAUUUUUAACCACCAUAUCAUAUCCAUCUUAGACGCCAGCAUUAGGUAGUUUUAGAAACAGCAAAACCAUUUUUUCUGCAUCAACGACAAUAGUAAAUAAAAUUCACGAUUAUUUCUGUUGCUUGUGGAUGCGAGAAAGAGAAUUAAACGGAAUAGAAAAUGUGACUGCUGGUACCGUCGGAGUAUGUUGAUAUUGUUCAUCAGGUACCCUUGCAACGUUCCUCUGUGACGGCGGCCUUGCCACAGCUGCAUUAGCGACGUUUGAUUUCUUUUCAUCUCUAGCUUUGCUGAAUAUCACUGUGAAUCCUUCAGCUGAUGCAGGAUUGUUCACAUCCCACUCGCCAAAUUUUGGCAGAGGCCGUCCUUUACCCUGCUGCUGUUUUGCACAAAUUUGACCAUAACAUCUGCGUUAAAUAAUAAUAAUAAUAAUGAAACAAAUGGCAGAGGGAAAGGAGAGAGGGGUUACCGUGGCCAUGAAUGCAGAUUUGAGGAGCUUCCCGGUUGAGAAAAAAGGGAAAUGAAGAGGUAAGAAGAGGGAAAGAAGAAAGAGAGGAAGAUAAAAGAAAGCAAAAAUGAGAAAAACAGAAAGACGAGAGAGCGAUUAUUAAGGCCUACGUGAUUGGUAGGUAAUUGUUGCAUGCAUACGUAGCUGUAUCCGAACUGUAAACUUUUUAAGUGUUUAUUGCGGUAAUUUAUCUGUAUAUAAUUAGUAUUUAUUUUGUCUAUUGAUUACCUUUCUGUCGAUUGUUAUAACUUCAAAAUUGUACAAUCUAUUUUCUCAGUGGAUUAAUCUCCUCGGUACUCAUUUAUUUGUGUGAUUAUUUUUUCCAAUAAGCAUAAAUAUGACAAUAAAAAUGACUAUAACAUGAUUAAACUUAAAAGUAGUAGGCCCUUUUCCUUUCUUUUUCUUUUUUUUUUUAAUAUUACACUUCGAUAUAAAUAUCAGGAGCCUAGGCGAAACCCAAUAUCGGGACCUGAAGCCUCGGUUAGUAGGGCAUAGUAAUAAUAGGACCCAAAAUUAAGGCUAGUGCGGUCUAGUCUAAGGUUGGCAAUGUGAUAAAAUAGGAUGAGACGAAAUUUGUUAAUUUUAUUCUUAUUUCGUAUAUGCAAGUGAAAUGAAAAAUUAUUUCAUUUCUGCCUCUUUAUAUUUUUUAAGACAAAAUUUGUCCUAAUUUUAUUCCGUUAAAUAUCAUGUCUCAUCCCAUUAUCAUGAACAAUUCAUAAUAUAAAUAAACAAAUUUUGAAAUUUUUUCUUUAAUGAUUAUCAUAAUUCAAUAGCAAAAAUCUUGAAUAAAUACAAAAUAGAAUAAUUAAAUAAUAAUUUUAUUUUAACUACAUGUAUGUUCGAAAGUAAUUUUAUGCUAAUAUUUUUUAAUUGUCUGUUCGCUUCCAUUGCAUAUUAAUGUUAAGAAUAAUGCUUCAAUUUAUAUUUUGACCAUAAAAAAUAUAAAAAAAUAAUUUUAAUUGUGGCUUCUGGUUAACACUUCACUUUCUAAUUAUAUUACUUUUAUUAUUUAAUUUUAGCCUUUAGAUUUCAACUUUGAAUAUUACUUAAGUUAAAUUAUAAAAUAAUUAAAUUUUUUUCACUUUUGCUAUAAAAUUAUAAGUUUUUAUCAUGUUAGAUGUGGUAAUUAUUAGUGGAAUAGGUUUUUACACUGUUAGGUGCGGUAAUUGUUAGUGGUAUAAGUUGGGUGUUCUUUAAUGAAUUGAGUUAGGUUUAUGUUUGGGUAAUGGAACAAAUGUAUGGUCAUAAAAUUACUGGCUUUGUUUAUGUGUGUGGUGGGGAUUGAUCAUGAACUAAUAUAAAUGGAGAGGGGGGAAAACUCUUCUAUACACUCUUGUAUACCUUCCUUCACUUCUUUCUCUCUAAAUUUUCCUCUCUCCUAAUGGAAUAAAAUUUUUGUAAUUAAAAUUAUUGGUGCAAGAUAUUUGGUAAUAGUUGGUUUGUCAAAACCCAAAUACUACAUUGGAAUCCAAUCUUAAUGCGUUACAAUGGUGUAACUUGUACAACGCAAUAAAACGUGCGUAAGUGAAAAAUAUAUGGUUGUUACUCCAAUACUAAUUAUAAAUAGAGAAUACUAAUUAUAAAUAGAGAAUACUGAUGAUAGAUAGGUAUGUUUAAAGUGAACUAACAGUACAACGUGUAUAAUUGCAUGUCCCAAUGUAGAAAUAGGUAACUAACUAUGCAGUAACAAAAUUCUAAGAAUUACCUGUAAAUAUUUGAUUAAAGAUUCUAUUAAUCUAUUAUGAAUAUGAACAUGUGAUAUUAGAUGCUCGGGUAAAAGCCCAUUUAGUCCCUAUAUUUUAAGGUUAGUGUCCGUUUAAUCCCCGUAUUUUUUAAAAUGCCUCGAAACAUCCAUACCAUUAAAGUAUUGAUUCCCAUACCGUUACUUUUUAUUUCUUUUGGCUUACUUUUACAAUAUUACCCUUUUAUAAUAAUUUUUGUGUUUGGACAUUAAUAAAAAAAAAAUAAUUAAAUUACCAAUUUAACCCUAAAAAAAUUAUAUUAAUUUUUAAUUGUCAAAAAUUGUAUGCAAACUAUCAAGUAUUCAAAUGGUGCUUGGAAAAAAAUUAAUAUAAUUUUUAGGGUUAAAUUAGUAAUUUAAUUAUUUUCUUUUUAUUAAUGUCCAAAAAAAUUAUUAUAAAAGGGUAAUAUUGUAAAAGUAAGCCAAAAGAAAUAAAAAGUAACGGUAUGGGAAUCAAUACUUUAAUGGUAUGGAUGUUUCGAGGCAUUUUAAAAAAUACGGGGAUUAAACGGACACUAACCUUAAAAUAUAGGGACUAAAUGGGCUUUUACCCGAGCAUCUAAUAUCACAUGUUCAUAUUCAUAAUAGAUUAAUAGAAUCUUUAAUCAAAUAUUUACAGGUAAUUCUUAGAAUUUUGUUACUGCAUAGUUAGUUACCUAUUUCUACAUUGGGACAUGCAAUUAUACACGUUGUAUAAAUAAAUCAUAUAAGUAAAGACGUAAAAUAAUAUUUAAUUUAAUUAAUUUUAUCAUAUCACACUAAUUUAUACAAAAUAAUCUCGCCACAUACUGUAUGUACGUAAUCACGUCACCAUAAAACCAAAACCAAAAGUAUGGCGAGCACGCGCCUAGAAACGUAUAGAAAUAAUCAAAAACAUCAAACAACUGUCAACGAAGCCAACCACGUUAAGCCCAUUGAGCCAACGAUCCAUAAGCCGCCACGUCCUCUAUCCCCAAACAAUCGCGCCUCCACAGUGCCCUAUAUAUAACUUUUUGGUCAUUUUAGUAUUUUACCAUUUCUUCCAACCCCACCCCCCC
rnacentral:lncRNA from 1 species